GAGGGUAGAGCUCAGUGGUAAAGCAUGUGCUUAGCAUGCACAAGGUCCUGGGCUCAAUCCCCAGUAUUUCCA
rnacentral:tRNA from 1 species